GGUCUCUGCCGGCGGCUGUUGGUGGGAUGAUCCCUGCAAGAGCAUUCAGAAGAGAUCAGUGGUGCUGGAGAGGAGGGGCUGCUAACAUGCACAGCACAGAGUCUGCUCCAGCACCACACUCUGCAGCAUCACCAGACAGGGACAGGAUUCACUUUCAGCAGGGACAGGAUGUUUGGUUUAGUUCUGAAGACUGGAGAGGGUAUAAACAGGAGAGCCGGAGGCAGCUGCCGCUCCCCCUGCUGCUGCUGCUUUUGCUGUUGCUGAAUUUCUGGUUGGAGCUAUCCUGAUGACAGAGAUUGGACUUGUCACCAAGGAACGGGACACCCCUAAUGAGCAGGACGUAGUCUAAAGAGACACGUUCACCCAGAACUAUGGAGUCGGUGUCUGUGGAAAGCCUACAGUCCAGCUCACGCUAGCUUUCUCAUGCUGCUCAAAACAUGACAGCCCCAGUGGCUAUCUAUCUGUAACUAGCCCACCAACCCACAGGCCCCAGCUCAGCAUGGAACUGGACCAACUCCUGACGGACUACCCAGCACUGAGUCACAGCGGCAUCGUGCUGACCCAAGGGAGCCACAGAGUCCAACUACUGAAAAUACAAGCCAGUCCCUAGAGGUCAGGAGUCAGCCCAGGAAGCCUGGAAGGACAGGCAGUAGGGAAGGAGAGAUGGAGGCAUGGUGGGACACAGAAGUCUCAGGAGAGGGAAGGGGACAUUUAUUAUGGUGGCAGAGGUACCAAUCCAUGAGGAAGACUUUCAAGGCUGUGAGCAGUGGCCCUCGGUGUCAAGGUCAUUUUAGGAUACCUUACUAUGGAGACUUGUUUUUGGUGACCAGGAACGCCCAAGCUUCAGACCACUCCUGACUUUUUCUCUAUUCAUGAUGAAUCUGUGCUGAGGACUUGUAACUCCCUUUGUUUUCCAGGACUUUGGGGAAUGCUACAGUCUUUCGGGGCCUUGGGUCACUCCUGUACAUUCCCCUGAGCCUCAUGCAUUCAGAAAGUCUUCCUGGCAUCCGAAGUCUGUGGGAAGUCUUCUCCAGUUCUGCCAGUUUAAUUUGUUUUAUUAACAUGAAAUAUUUGGGUUUGGGAUUCAAGGAUAACACUGAGACAGAUAGUCCUUUGUGGGGUAGGAAGUUAAUAGUUCCACGGUCACGAAAGACCCACAGUGUGAGGACUCCCCCACGUUCUGACUCAGAAGAGGCGACACCCCAAAUCACUCACGAGAAUCGGUCUUGAUGCAAACUGCAAGAGGUUUAUUCUGGAAAAACCAGUGCAUUGGGGACAACUCUUAUCCCACACAAGGGUAGAGGAGUCAACCAUGAGCUCAAGGGGGCGGGAAAACGAAGGACGAGACACAGACAAACAAGUCCAGUGCACUAGGGUUGACUUGUAUCCCACGCAGGGGUAGAGGAAUUGACAACAAGCUCAAGGGGUAAGGGAUUUAUAUAGACACACAAACCACAAACACCUGGCACUGGGCUAUAGAAAGGCAAAAACCACAAACACCUGGCAUCCUGGAACAAUGGGGCUAUUUUGGACACAGGUCUAGGGGCUUAAAUAAUUUUUUACUCUCUGUCAGGAUCUUUUAGUCAUAUAGAAAAGCAGACAAUGGCAUGAAGCAGACCCUAAUGAAAGUUCAGGAAGCAAGCGGGGUUGGGGGUGGGGGUGAGGAGUCCUUUUUGGGUCUCAGAGGAAAGGGGAAGGUUCCAAGAUACAAGCCUGUAGCUAGCUGUCCCUGAUUCCUGGGCAGCUGGGAGGAGGGGGCAAAUCCCAGGGAAGGAGUGAAAAGGUGGAAGGGAUAUCUGGUUGAGAGGUAGCUGGUGUGAGUGGGGGAUGUGCUGCCCUUUGAUAACCAGAGCCUGGCUGCCUGGUCUGUGGGCUUCCUUAGGGGGAAAUAGUGUCUGUCACUCCCUGACAUCAGACUAGGAAGGCUCUCUCUCUCUCUCUCUCUCUCUCUCUCUCUCUCUCGCUCGCUCGCUCGCUCUGGCUCUGGCUCUGGCUCUUGAUCUCUCUCACUCUUUCUCUUUCCCUCCUCCCCUCCCCCUGCUGCUCUCCUCUCCUCCUGCUCUCCCCCUCUCCCUUUUCCUCCCUCUCCCUGUAGCAAUAAGAAUCCCAGAAUCAACUGAGGAUGGAGACAGGGAGGGCUGAACUUGAGCAGUCUCUGGUCUGAUGUUCUAACAUAAGCCAUGUGUACUAAGCCACUGUGAUUAAAUGUUGUCUUCAGUGGUGACAUUGAUGACCCUCUUACCUGCUCUGCAGCAGUGGGAGGCUGUAGUCUUGAAGGCGUGGCACCUGGUAUAGAAUACAGAGCAGGUUCCAGGAACUACAUACAGGAAAACAUCUGCCACAUGUAAACAGACCAGGAUGUUUGUGACAUCCCUGUACUGUCGUGGGGUUGGGGUCAUUGAUAUUCAUCUGAAAUUAUGCUCAUAAACAGACAAAAACAAAGGUGCUGGCUUUUCCACCUAAAUACACAGCUUCCCAGCAAAAGUCCUCCUUGGGGGUAUCAGGCUGCCAACUCCUGACAGCCUCAUCCUGGGCAUAACUGUCUGGAGAAGUGGGGCAGCCUCUUAGGAUGACCUCAGAUCUGAGGAGUGACAUCUGCCCAGCAUGUGUCCUUGCACCUGAGGUAGGAACAAGACAAAAACCUCAGUGCAAAAGUAAAAAUAGCAGACCAUAGCAAUCCAGGGCAUGGUGCGGGCUAUAAUUAUAGACAUGGAGGCGGUUCCUUCUGAAGCCUACUGGAGGGCCAGGGGGAGUAGGCUGGUGUGUGGGGGUGAUGAUGCAGAGGAGGGGAGGCCUGGCCUCAGAAUCUCCUGACUUCAGAGUGCCCAAGAGACAGGCUAGCAGAAGGCCACAGGACGAAUGGACAGCAAGAACACAGGCUACAGCAAUUCUGCAAAGUGCUUAAAAACACUCGUCCUCUGACCUGCAAGACACUGUCCAAGAUACAAAACCUUGGCUGUGUAAGGGAACAAAAUUGCAUUGGAUUUUUGGUAAAAAUAGCAAGAGUAAUUUUGUUCAGGCUCUGGCAGCAGAUCGGAGAGUGUGGUGUGGGACUGAGAUCCACUCAAAUGCAGGACAGUAACAAGUGCCCAGAGUGAGAGCAGACUGGGGGAGGGGAAGCUACCGAGGAAUAAGCCUGCCCCUGCUAAAGGUGAGCUACUGUUUGGGAUGACAGCCGAUAGAAGUCAAAGAGUGGCUGGAACCAGAAACCAAGGGUGGAGGAGUCACAGCAGGGCAUGAUUGUGAAUGGCCAAGGUACAGGUCUAGCUCAAGUAGCUCGGAGGAGCCUGACUGAGUUAAGCCUUUCCAGGGUCGUCUCCACCAUGGCCUGGCCCAGGGAUAAGGUAUUCUGCAACUACAGACGAGGGAGCUGAUGGAAGGGGCAAGCAGCUUUUGCCAGGAUCCUGUCCCUAUGCAGUGCUGGUCCCUGGCCUUGCACCUGAGUCCUGGGUGAGCUUGGGUACCUUACUUUCUGUCUUAGUUACUUUUCUCACUGCUUUGAUGAGUCAGCCAACAAGAACAACUUAAGAAAGGAACGGUUUGUUUUGGCUCAUGGGUUGAGGUUCAUCCAAGAUGAUGGAGGUGUCCCCAAGUUUGGUCUGUUGCUAUGAAUUGCAAUGCUAAAUACUGGCCUCCAAGGUCUACUUGCCCCCCAGGAUGAGGAAAUCACAUACACUAAGUGAUGCUAUGUAACCUUGCUCCUUAAUUUAAAACUAUCUGUUGAAUAAAGAUGCCUACAACCAAUAGUUGGGCAUAAGGGAGGUAAAAGGAGUUUCAAUUCUUGAGCUUGUGGUCUAAGGUGGGACCACCACAAGGGGGAAGAGAAGAAUGUGGAGAGAGGAGAGGAUGCCAUGGGGUAGGUGAAUCAUGAAAACAUGGCCAUGAGGGCUGGGCAAUUAGGGUUAAGAGCAUCCCAGAUGGAACAUGGCAACUCAGGGUUAUUGACAGGAAAGUAAAUACUUCCUUAGAGCGAAGUAUUUGCCCAGCUCUAGUGCUAAUUACAUCUUAUAAAUAUAUUUGCAUCUUUUACUGGGAACUGAAUGAUCAAAGGCCGGGUAGAAACCCCCAUUGAGGUUAUAUACACUACACCAUGGGGGAGUGUCAACAAGAGCAUGAAGGAGUCAGUCCGAGACUCCAGCCCAUGGGAUGGUACCACCCACACUCAGACUCCCACCCACACUCAGACUCCAACCCAUGGGAUGGUACCACCCAUGCUCAGGAUCAUUUUACCCGCUCAGCUAACACUUUCUGGAAACACACUGAGGGAUGUGUUCUCUUUAAGUGACACCAACUCCAAAUUGUCUGCUCAUUUUUAAUUAUUUAAAGUUUUAUUUUACGUGUAUGUGUAUUUUGCCUGUAUGUAUGUAUGUAUGUAUGUAUGUGUGUAUGUAUGUACACCCCAGGUAUGUCUGGUGCUCAAGAAGAUGAGAAGAUGGGUUUGGGUCCCCUGGAACUAGGGUUACAUAUAUUUAUGUGUCACCACGUAGACCUGUAUCCUCCAGGAUUCCAAACUACUGAGCCAUCGCUCCAGCUUCAGUUUCUUCCCAUUUGAAAAAUAUUUUAUUAAAAUAUUUUAGGUAAAAGACAUAGCUUUAAGACUCGCUGGAAAUUCAAGACUGAAUGUUAGGGUUGGAGGUCCAUGACUGGAGAAGUUGGAGACUGGAGGUUAAAGGUUAAGGUUAAAGAUCAAAGAGGCUGAUGGUUUGUUCCAAGAUAUAGGUUGGGAAUAGAAGGUUGACGUCUGAAAGCCUACGGUUAGAGGCUGGAGAUUGAAGCUUGGGGAGGCUGGGUGGUUAGGGUUAGAGGUGGAAGCUGAGGAGGCUGGACUAGGAGAGGUCAGAACAACUGCCUUCCCAGAGACUUUUCAUUUUCUGGGGUAGCCAUGAAAAUAACUACAGAUCGGAGGUGGGACACAACACAGUCAACAUUUCAUGUCACCGUGUGAGUAGCCAGAAGCCCCAAGUCAGAGUCGCUCUGGGGUCACCCAGGCCUGAUCAAAUUGUCUACACUGCCAUGCUCACACACUGGCCUUGGCUCAGCUAUAUUCCCCAGCCUCAGCUCCAUCUCACCUGGCUAUCUUCCCUCAUUUGUCCUUGUAUCUCCCUAUCUCUUUCCUUAUCAGCCCUACCAUAACCUGUGGCACCAGAGAGGUCACAUUUGUCUCUCACAGCCACCAGGUUCGGACUUCAAUGUAUACUUUGUGGGUUCAGUUCAACUCCACCACGCUUGUACAUGUAUGACUGGCUUCUGUCCCUGGACCAUUCCCCUUCUCCUUAAGUGAGGACUCUCUAGUAUGGUAAGUGUCUCUCAUCAACCAUCAACAGGCAAGGGGCUAGGCUCCAGGUAACAUCACGAUUCUUCCAUUCUAAGAGCCUUGUGCUGAUGCAGAAGCCUGAAUGGCCAAGAGCGGGAGGAGAGCAUCCCUCUAGGGGACAGCACUGCCCUGGGCUGGGAACACUGCUGGAAACACGCUCGGCUUCUGUGGGCCUGGCCUGCUGGCCGUAUGCAGAGCUGCAUCAUCUGCUGUCAGUGUCUAAGCCCUGUGAAUGGGGUCCAGCAGUCUUCCGUCACCCCCUUCUUUCUCCCCAGUACAGUUGGCUAGUACUGGGAAUAAUGAUUACCUUGGUGUGAAAGUGGAAAUUUCUGCUUUCUCUAACAAGUCAGUUGUGUCAUGUGAUAUUUUUCUGGAAACUGAUGACAGGAUUUAGUUCACUGAAGCAGACACAUGAGCGGAUGUUUUGCUGAGAACAGACACGUGGCGUUUUUCCGGAAGCUGUCUUGUGAGAGGGCAUGUGACGUUUUGCUGGAACAGACACUGGAGAGGGAACAUGGUGUUUAAAAUGAAUAAAGAAGUACCAAAGAGCUUUGUGUGGUAAUCUGGUUGCUUUGCGCCACUUCUGGGGACUUACGGUGACAUGGCAGAGCCUUACAGUUUCUUCUGGAUCAAGCCACUGCUACUGAAUCAUGUUGGGUGUUUUCCGAUUGGGUUGGACUGCCACUAUUGAUUCAUGGUGGAUGUUUUGGGCUGGACUGCUGAUAUCCUGACCACAAAAUUGAAAUCCCUCUUGUCCUACAAACCGUCUUCUUCCUCUACCUCUGGACAGUGGGAUAGAAGGGAAGUAAAGGUGUUUAAGAACCCUAAAUAAAGUAGGUUUUGAAAAA